UACGUAGGGCGCAAGCGUUGUCCGGAAUUACUGGGCGUAAAGAGCUCGUAGGUGGUUUGUCGCGUUGUUCGUGAAAUUCCCUGGCUUAACUGGGGGCGUGCGGGCGAUACGGGCAGACUGGAGUACUGCAGGGGAGACUGGAAUUCCUGGUGUAGCGGUGGAAUGCGCAGAUAUCAGGAGGAACACCGGUGGCGAAGGCGGGUCUCUGGGCAGUAACUGACGCUGAGGAGCGAAAGCGUGGGGAGCGAACAGG
rnacentral:rRNA from 1 species